AACAAGCCCGCGUUAGGGAUCGAAACGGCAUCCUUUUUUUGGUGAGAUUCCUGCGAAGGCAGGAAUCUCACCAAAAAAAGAUAUAGUGUAAAGCCCGACCAAAA
rnacentral:sRNA from 1 species